AAGGGUCAUUCCACCGCCAAAGGGGUCGCGACACAGGUUGAGAACCGCUGAUCCUAAUUUGAAGUAUUUUAAGAGGCUUCAAGUUGAGUAUGCAAGUACUACUACGCUAGUGCUACUGUGGGGGUAACUGACUUAUGGAGAAUAUAGACCAUAGGUGGUAGAUACAAGGGAAAUUACUCAAUGGGAAUGAUAAUUUGCUUUUAAAGAGAAUUUAUCCUAUUAUUCUAUUCCCUCCUUCCCUCAGCUUUGGAGUAAGACUUAAGGUUUCAAACCCUGGCCCAUCAUUACCUAGUUUGGUUAUCUUAAUCUUUUUGUAUGUGAACUUGGAAGUACUAAAAAAAUCCUACCUCUUGGGUUUACUGUGACCAUUAAAUGACAUAAGGAACCAAAGGGAUACUUAAUUCAUCUCAGUUCUUUCAUGGUUGAGGGACUCCUUUGUUUUCCCCCUGGUACUUGGUUACCCCCAGAGUGAGGCUUAAUGGGUCUCUACUGGGCCUCGGCUGUAGUUGUCCUUCUGUUGCCAUUCUCUUACUCAUGCAAUAACCCAUAGAAUUUUUUUCUGCCUCUCUCGCAUUUUCUAACUUAAAAUUACAUAAACACAUCCUCUUUACCCUGCCAGACUAAAAUCCUUGAGGGGCACUUUCUCCACAGCCUCCUGCCACAUGUUCACAACAUGUGACUCAGUGAAAUCAAAGCUUGGUUGUCAAGCUUUCUAAUCGAGUUUUAAAAUACGUUGGGCACACCACAAAUGUAGCAUUAGCCCAGAGAAGUACUUUGGAUAAAAAUGUCAGCCCUUGUCUACGUAGUGCCUACCUUAAGAAUGGAAAAAAUACCACGGGUUCGUGUUUUAUAUCAAAAGGACAUUGUCACUAGUGCAUUUUGAUCAUCACAAGAGGAAAAACAGGGCGCAGGAGAAAAAGGAAAAGCAGUGUAGGCAAAACAGGAAACGAGUUUUUUCCUUUAUAACAGAUUUCAUAAACCUUUAAAGUCAUCUUUCAUUAAAUAUAAAAUUCUCAUUAAAAACUUCAGCUUCAAGUUUAGAAGUGCCCAGUCUGACCCAACAGCUUGAUGCUGCCCCCUAGUGUUUUGUUCCCCUUGAAGUUUCCUGAGUUUAACUUCCCUUUCUUCACCUUUUCCUAAAACAAGAUCUAUUUAAAUUACAAUCAGACUCCUUAGUGUUAUACGCCCUAGUCUCCUUGGCAUUUCCUCCAGCUGCUGGUAGGGUUUCUGAUAAGAUAGUCAUUUUGAAUUGGUUCAUUCUUACUGCUUUUAGCCCCCAAUUUUCCAAAUAGGGGUGAGUUUUGUGUGGAGAGAAAACAGUAUAAUAGGUUUCCUUGCAAGAUUAUAUAGGGGAUUUUUCAAAGCAGGAAAAGGGGUAUAUGUUAAUCUAUUAAGUUAGCUUUGUAUAUGAGUAACAUAACUUUGAUUUAUUUAAUCUGGGCUUUGCCUUGAAAAGUGUGAUAAAAAAGUGUGCUUUCCGGCCCUGACCAGGUCGCUCAGUUGUUUGCAGCAUCGUCCUGUGCAGCAAAGGAUGGAGGGUUCAAUUCCUGGUCAGAGCACUUACCUAGGUUCCGAAAUUGACCCCUGGUCGGG